CCUGUGCUUAUGAUAGGCUUUCCGCGCUGUGAAGUGUUCCCAGACACUUCGCCUGGGCCAUAUUGCCAGUCAAUCCUUGCCAUGGGAGAUUCGUACGGGGACAGUAGGGCAAAUUAUCCAAAUCUUGGUCAAAGCUUUUUCCAUACUUGUACCACCCUCUGAGUGAAGAACCCCUCAGGGCUGCUUGUUGCCAAGAGAACUUGGAAUGUGAUGGAGCCCUCUGUCAGUUUACUUGGAAAAGAGGACACUGAACACGUUGCUUUCAAUGGAAAAUGAUAUGCACGUGAGCUGUAGAUUAAGACAUUAAGAUUUUCCCAUGUGAAUUCUGUUUCAAUGAAACUUGCACUGAUAACAUUCAAAGCAGCUUUCUCUACUCCUUUGGCUUCCCAAGACUGUGAGGGCCCAAUGCUUUUUAAAGUUCAAGGUGAAGUGAGCUGUCAUUUACCUGUAAACACGGAUACUGCCAAACGUCCCUCCGGACCAAGGUGCACAACACAGUACGUACAACUCACACACACAACUCAUAAAGUAAUAUUAUCACAAAUGGAUUAAUAAACAGUAAGCUGCCUAG